rnacentral:rRNA from 1 species
AGCGAACGCUGGCGGCAGGCCUAACACAUGCAAGUCGAACGAACCUUUCGGGGUUAGUGGCGGACGGGUGAGUAACACGUGGGAACGUGCCUUUAGGUUCGGAAUAACUCAGGGAAACUUGUGCUAAUACCGAAUGUGCCCUUCGGGGGAAAGAUUAAUCGCCUUUAGAGCGGCCCGCGUCUGAUUAGCUAGUUGGUUGAGGUAAUGGCUCACCAAGGCGACGAUCAGAAGCUGGUCUGAGAGGAUGGUCAGCCACAUUGGGACUGAGACACGGCCCGAACUCAUACGGAGGGAGGCAGUGGAGAGUGGUGAAAAAGGGUGUAAGGCUUGAAGAAGCCGUGCCGCGGGGAGGAGGAGGGGGUUGGGAGGGGAAAACUCUGUGGCCAGGGACGAGAAUGACGGUACGCUAAAAAAAAGCACCGGCUAACGUCGUU